UACAUAUUAUACGAGUGUUAUAUAUGUUAUAUUUUUAAAUGUAUCUUAAGCAGAAUAAAAAUGGAUUCAGUUUACUAUUGUGAAGUAUCUCAAAUGCACAGUUUACAGAAAUUUGAAAAAAUAACUAGUGCCUAUGGUUAAGAUUGAAAUAUAACUCCUGUCAAAUAAACACUUGAUUACAGCUAUACAUUGAAUUGAAUACAGGCUGUAGACCUGAGUUAGGAGCGCAGGUACACUCCGUAGAGUUGGCGUUACAAUGAGAAUUAUAAAAAACUCUGUUUUCUAGGAGUUUCGUGAGAGCUAAUGUGGACACAGGAAACAAGACAGUUUGGAAAUUGCAGACUUUCAAACACCAACUUCAGAUGGAUGGCAGCAGUUGUGGUGUUCUGAUAUUAAAUUUUGCAGAACAGUACCUUACAAGUGGAUCAAUUGAUCAGGUGGAAACCAGCCCAGCAUCUAUAAGAGCAGAAAGACUGGAGAUUGCUGGCCUCCUUAUGGAAAAUCAGGGCAACAUAGAUGAAUACUGCAUAAUAUGCAGCAUGAUGGACCUGCAAUCAGCCAACACCACAAUUAAC